GACGAACGCUGGCGGCGUGCCUAAUACAUGCAAGUUGAGCGCUGAAGGUUGGUACUUGUACCAACUGGAUGAGCAGCGAACGGGUGAGUAACGCGUGGGGAAUCUGCCUUUGAGCGGGGGACAACAUUUGGAAACGAAUGCUAAUACCGCAUAAAAACUUUAAACACAAGUUUUAAGUUUGAAAGAUGCAAUUGCAUCACUCAAAGAUGAUCCCGCGUUGUAUUAGCUAGUUGGUGAGGUAAAGGCUCACCAAGGCGAUGAUACAUAGCCGACCUGAGAGGGUGAGCGGCCACAUUGGGACUGAGACACGGCCCAAACUCCUACGGGAGGCAGCAGUAGGGAAUCUUCGGCAAUGGACGAAAGUCUGACCGGGCAACGCCGCGUGAGUGAAGAAGGUUUUCGGAUCGUAAAACUCUGUUGGUAGAGAAGAACGUUGGUGAGAGUGGAAAGCUCAUCAAGUGACGGUAACUACCCAGAAAGGGACGGCUAACUACGUG
rnacentral:rRNA from 1 species